rnacentral:misc_RNA from 1 species
GAUGAAGAACGCAGUGAAAUGCGAUAAGUAGUGUGAAUUGCAGAAUUCCGUGAAUCAUCGAAUCUUUGAACGCACAUUGCGCCUUCUGGUAUUCCGGAAGGCAUGCCUGUUUGAGAGUCAUUAACAACCGUUUCGAUCCCUUUCUUUCAGAAAUUACAAAGAGGAAAAGGGUUUGGUUAUGGUGGAGGAGGGAAAGGGAGCGUUUAGCCUGUAAAAAAAGAGGCUGUGUUCCGCCUCCCCCCCAAAAUUGUACAGGCGGUCGUGUGCGCCCACGCAUCGAGGUGUUGUAAAAGCUGCCACGGCACUUUUCACCUGUGCAGUGCGAGAUUGGCCAGCCGGUUUAAAAACCCCUCCAAACAAUCAAAGGUUGACCUCGGAUCAGGUAGGGAUACCCGCUGAACUUAAGCAUAUCAAUAAGCGGAGGA